CAAAAAAAAAAAAUCAGGAAUCAAAGUGUUGGGCUCACUAUAACUAUAAUCAAAACAAACAGUAGGUGGCGACAAUAUAGCUUCGGUGGAAGCUUGGUGGCCAUUAGCAAAAAUAUGUACUUUUUUUUUGUUCUUUUUGCUUGUCUUUCGGAGAAGUGCAACCCAGCCUCCAAGUCCAUCAAAGCAGGGAAACAGCGUAUACGUAUAUGUACUACUGACUUUCCCUUCACAAUGACAUGUUUCUUCAAGUUAACAACGAAAGAAAUGAAAUUGAAAACAAUGUUUAUGUCUACUUUAAGAAGACGGCAUCAUUCUCACCAGACUUGGGGAUUCUUUUUAAAGGAGAUUUCAUGGAAGACUUUUCGCAUCAACUUUGGCAAGUAUACAAAAAAACAUAAUUCCCAAUUCAGUGUGGACUACUUAGCAGUUGAAUGUUGGAAACCUAUUUUUGAGUUCCAUUUAAAUAGACUAACCCAUCUGUUGUACCAGUAUGUAGCAAUUUUCUAAAUUAAAGACGUAAGAUAAGCAGCAGUAUGAAUUGGUAGUACAUUUGAAAACAGAAAAGACUUGGGGAUUCUUUUUAAAGGAGAUUUCAUGGAAGACUUUUCGCAUCAACUUUGGC